ACUUCAUCCCUCAUUAGAAAUAUCCCUCACGGCUAUACCCUUGUAACUUGUUUAGUAGAGAGAGAGAGAGAGAGAAAGGGGAAAAUGAGGGCAGAAGCCCUGCUACUCUUCUUUAGCUUCUCCAUAGGCAUUGUGACCGGGGACUGGAACAUCCUCAGCUACACAACCAAGAAAAGAGAUCAUCAUCAGCAUCAUGCGGGCAUCAGUCUGAAAAACUACUGCGAGAGCUGGCGGAUAAAUGUGGAGCUGAACAACAUUCGGGGGUUCGACGUGGUGCCUGGCGAGUGCGUGGGCUACAUCGGCAAGUACAUGACCUCAACGCAGUACAAGGUCGACGUCCAGCGGGCUGCCGAGCAGACCACACUCUUCCUCACCAACAACUUUCGCCUGGGUGCUGAUGGCAAGGACGCCUGGAUCUUCGACAUCGAUGACACCCUCCUCUCCACCGUGCCAUACUUCAAGAAGCACCAACAUGGGGCUGUUUUGGGGUGCAGAGGAGCUACGACGAACAGUACUUCCAUGGAGCAAUGGAUGGAAGAGCGGAGUGCCCCCGCCGUGGAGCAUAUGCUCGAUUUAUACCAUGAGAUCAGAGCACGAGGUUUGAAGAUCUUCCUCAUUUCUUCCCGACGGGAGCAUCUGAGGGAUGCCACUAUCGACAACCUUGUCAAGGUUGGGUAUCUCGGUUGGACCGAUUUGAUUUUAAGGUGCGCAGAAGACUGCUACCAUGCGGUAGCGAAUUAUAAGACUGAGAAAAGGAGAAAGUUGAUAGAGCAAGGCUACCACUUGUGGGGGAUUAUGGGAGACCAAUGGUGCAGUCUUGUAGGCCACCCCAGUGCCAACAGAACAUUCAAACUCCCAAAUCCCAUGUCAUUCUUCUGCUGCCUCUCUCUCGCUUGCUCACAAAGAUGAUGAUGAUGCUUAUUGUCCAAUGUACUAUUUGAUGGAUUCUAUCGACAAUUUCCACAUUUGAAGGAAGAAGGCAUUGUGAAUUGAGAACCUGCCACAUGUUCUAGUCCUUUCAAGAAAGAGAGGGAUAGGGCAUCUUGAAUCACUGUAACUGCUAUUGCUGAUGCUGAUAGCCAUGUGAAGGAGAACCUUCAUAUCAAAUGCAGACUUUUAUAGGUCGCCAUACCUUCAUGGUGUGAAAUUAGAGGUGGCUGGAAUGUGAAGGGACUGUCCAGCCUUUUCGUCACUUCCUUAAACCUGGAAGCAAACCUAACAGACCAGCUUUGUUUGCCCGUUCAACCGCCGUGUGGCCUUUUUAAUGACUUCUGCUUUAAGUUUUAUAGCUAUUGGAAGCAAGAUGGGCGAUGAUGGGACCUUUGUUUUUCUUUGUUGUUUGCUUGAAAUUUCCUGUGAUCUUA